CAUUUCCCAAAGACUACAAAAUGAUAACAGUUUAGCAGCUGCACUUAUGCAGCAAGCAAGGGCUGCAACAAAUGCACAAGUCCCUUUAGAUCUGUCUUCAGAUGCUAGGCCUGCUCCUGAAAGGCCUGCUCCUGAUGAAAGACCUGCUCCUGACGAAAGGCCUGCUCCUGAUGAAAGCAGGCCUUUGGGGGACCCUGAUGUAAACAAGACGA